GAUUAAGUUAUUAAGGGCGCACGGUGGAUGCCUUGGCACUAGAAGCCGAUGAAGGACGUUACUAACGACGAUAUGCUUUGGGGAGCUGUAAGUAAGCUUUGAUCCAGAGAUUUCCGAAUGGGGAAACCCAGCAUGAGUUAUGUCAUGUUAUCGAUAUGUGAAUACAUAGCAUAUCAGAAGGCACACCCGGAGAACUGAAACAUCUUAGUACCCGGAGGAAGAGAAAGAAAAUUCGAUUCCCUUAGUAGCGGCGAGCGAAACGGGAAGAGCCCAAACCAACAAGCUUGCUUGUUGGGGUUGUAGGACACUCUAUACGGAGUUACAAAGGACGACAUUAGACGAAUCAUCUGGAAAGAUGAAUCAAAGAAGGUAAUAAUCCUGUAGUCGAAAAUGUUGUCUCUCUUGAGUGGAUCCUGAGUACGACGGAGCACGUGAAAUUCCGUCGGAAUCUGGGAGGACCAUCUCCUAAGGCUAAAUACUCUCUAGUGACCGAUAGUGAACCAGUACCGUGAGGGAAAGGUGAAAAGCACCCCGGAAGGGGAGUGAAAUAGAACCUGAAACCGUGUGCUUACAAGUAGUCAGAGCCCGUUAAUGGGUGAUGGCGUGCCUUUUGUAGAAUGAACCGGCGAGUUACGAUUUGAUGCAAGGUUAAGCAGUAAAUGUGGAGCCGUAGCGAAAGCGAGUCUGAAUAGGGCGUUUAGUAUUUGGUCGUAGACCCGAAACCAGGUGAUCUACCCUUGGUCAGGUUGAAGUUCAGGUAACACUGAAUGGAGGACCGAACCGACUUACGUUGAAAAGUGAGCGGAUGAACUGAGGGUAGCGGAGAAAUUCCAAUCGAACCUGGAGAUAGCUGGUUCUCUCCGAAAUAGCUUUAGGGCUAGCCUCAAGUGAUGAUUAUUGGAGGUAGAGCACUGUUUGGACGAGGGGCCCCUCUCGGGUUACCGAAUUCAGACAAACUCCGAAUGCCAAUUAAUUUAACUUGGGAGUCAGAACAUGGGUGAUAAGGUCCAUGUUCGAAAGGGAAACAGCCCAGACCACCAGCUAAGGUCCCAAAAUAUAUGUUAAGUGGAAAAGGAUGUGGCGUUGCCCAGACAACUAGGAUGUUGGCUUAGAAGCAGCCAUCAUUUAAAGAGUGCGUAAUAGCUCACUAGUCGAGUGACACUGCGCCGAAAAUGUACCGGGGCUAAACAUAUUACCGAAGCUGUGGAUUGUCCUUUGGACAAUGGUAGGAGAGCGUUCUAAGGGCGUUGAAGCAUGAUCGUAAGGACAUGUGGAGCGCUUAGAAGUGAGAAUGCCGGUGUGAGUAGCGAAAGACGGGUGAGAAUCCCGUCCACCGAUUGACUAAGGUUUCCAGAGGAAGGCUCGUCCGCUCUGGGUUAGUCGGGUCCUAAGCUGAGGCCGACAGGCGUAGGCGAUGGAUAACAGGUUGAUAUUCCUGUACCACCUAUAAUCGUUUUAAUCGAUGGGGGGACGCAGUAGGAUAGGCGAAGCGUGCGAUUGGAUUGCACGUCUAAGCAGUAAGGCUGAGUAUUAGGCAAAUCCGGUACUCGUUAAGGCUGAGCUGUGAUGGGGAGAAGACAUUGUGUCUUCGAGUCGUUGAUUUCACACUGCCGAGAAAAGCCUCUAGAUAGAAAAUAGGUGCCCGUACCGCAAACCGACACAGGUAGUCAAGAUGAGAAUUCUAAGGUGAGCGAGCGAACUCUCGUUAAGGAACUCGGCAAAAUGACCCCGUAACUUCGGGAGAAGGGGUGCUCUUUAGGGUUAACGCCCAGAAGAGCCGCAGUGAAUAGGCCCAAGCGACUGUUUAUCAAAAACACAGGUCUCUGCUAAACCGUAAGGUGAUGUAUAGGGGCUGACGCCUGCCCGGUGCUGGAAGGUUAAGAGGAGUGGUUAGCUUUUGCGAAGCUACGAAUCGAAGCCCCAGUAAACGGCGGCCGUAACUAUAACGGUCCUAAGGUAGCGAAAUUCCUUGUCGGGUAAGUUCCGACCCGCACGAAAGGCGUAACGAUUUGGGCACUGUCUCAACGAGAGACUCGGUGAAAUCAUAGUACCUGUGAAGAUGCAGGUUACCCGCGACAGGACGGAAAGACCCCGUGGAGCUUUACUGUAGCCUGAUAUUGAAAUUCGGCACAGCUUGUACAGGAUAGGUAGGAGCCUUUGAAACGUGAGCGCUAGCUUACGUGGAGGCGCUGGUGGGAUACUACCCUAGCUGUGUUGGCUUUCUAACCCGCACCACUUAUCGUGGUGGGAGACAGUGUCAGGCGGGCAGUUUGACUGGGGCGGUCGCCUCCUAAAAGGUAACGGAGGCGCUCAAAGGUUCCCUCAGAAUGGUUGGAAAUCAUUCAUAGAGUGUAAAGGCAUAAGGGAGCUUGACUGCGAGACCUACAAGUCGAGCAGGGUCGAAAGACGGACUUAGUGAUCCGGUGGUUCCGCAUGGAAGGGCCAUCGCUCAACGGAUAAAAGCUACCCCGGGGAUAACAGGCUUAUCUCCCCCAAGAGUUCACAUCGACGGGGAGGUUUGGCACCUCGAUGUCGGCUCAUCGCAUCCUGGGGCUGUAGUCGGUCCCAAGGGUUGGGCUGUUCGCCCAUUAAAGCGGUACGCGAGCUGGGUUCAGAACGUCGUGAGACAGUUCGGUCCCUAUCCGUCGUGGGCGUAGGAAAUUUGAGAGGAGCUGUCCUUAGUACGAGAGGACCGGGAUGGACAUACCUCUGGUGUACCAGUUGUCGUGCCAACGGCAUAGCUGGGUAGCUAUGUGUGGACGGGAUAAGUGCUGAAAGCAUCUAAGCAUGAAGCCCCCCUCAAGAUGAGAUUUCCCAACUUCGGUUAUAAGAUCCCUCAAAGAUGAUGAGGUUAAUAGGUUCGAGGUGGAAGCAUGGUGACAUGUGGAGCUGACGAAUACUAAUCGAUCGAAGACUUAAUCAA
rnacentral:rRNA from 1 species